rnacentral:rRNA from 1 species
GACGAACGCUGGCGGCGUGCUUAACACAUGCAAGUCGAACGAGUGGCGAACGGGUGAGUAAUACGUGGGAACCUGCCCCCCUCUCUGGGAUAACAGUUGGAAACGGCUGCUAAUACCGGAUAGUGGGGGAUGGACUCGCGUCCUAUCAGCGUGUUGGUUGGGUAGUGGCCUACCAAGGCGACGAUCCCUAGCUGGUCUUAGAGGAUGACCAGCCACACUGGAACUGAGACACGGUCCAGACUCCUACGGGAGGCAGCAGUGGGGAAUAUUGCACAAUGGGCGCAAGCCUGAUGCAGCCAUGCCGCGUGUAUGAAGAAGGCCUUCGGGUUGUAAAGUACUUUCAGCGAGGAGGCGUUACUCGCAGAAGAAGCACCGGCUAACUCCGUGCCAGCAGCCGCGGUAAUAC